GACGAACGCUGGCGGCGUGCUUAACACAUGCAAGUCGAACGGUAAGGCCCUUCGGGGUACACGAGUGGCGAACGGGUGAGUAACACGUGGGUGAUCUGCCCUGCACUUCGGGAUAAGCCUGGGAAACUGGGUCUAAUACCGGAGAGGACCACUGCCUGCAUGGGUGGUGGUGGAAAGCUUUUGCGGUGUAGGAUGGGCCCGCGGCCUAUCAGCUUGUUGGUGGGGUGAUGGCCUACCGAGGCGACGACGGGUAGCCGGCCUGAGAGGGUGACCGGCCACACUGGGACUGAGAUACGGCCCAGACUCCUACGGGAGGCAGCAGUGGGGAAUAUUGCACAAUGAGCGCAAGCCUGAUGCAGCGACGCCGCGUGAGGGAUGACGGCCUUCGGGUUGUAAACCUCUUUCAGCACCGACGAAGCGCAAGUGACGGUAGGUGCAGAAGAAGGACCGGCCAACUACGUGCCAGCAGCCGCGGUAA
rnacentral:rRNA from 1 species